UACGAAGGGGGCUAGCGUUGUUCGGAAUUACUGGGCGUAAAGCGCACGUAGGCGGAUUGUUAAGUCGGGGGUGAAAUCCCAGGGCUCAACCCUGGAACUGCCUCCGAUACUGGCAUUCUCGAGUCCGGGAGAGGUGAGUGGAAUUCCGAGUGUAGAGGUGAAAUUCGUAGAUAUUCGGAAGAACACCAGUGGCGAAGGCGACUUACUGGACACAUAUUGACGCUGAGGUGCGAAAGCGUGGGGAGCAAACAGG
rnacentral:rRNA from 1 species